rnacentral:misc_RNA from 1 species
AAGACUAUAGACCUGCGGAGUACCUGCGGAGGGAUCAUUUUUGGAUUCUAUCAUUAGUGCCGAUUACACUCUGUGUAGUCGACCUGCAAACAACAACUCCUUAAACACUGCAUUGUGUCUGAUACUUUAUUAAUACAAAAACAACUUUUAGCAACGGAUCUCU